GAUGAACGCUGGCUACAGGCUUAACACAUGCAAGUCGAGGGGAAACGGCAUUGAGUGCUUGCACUGAAUGGACGUCGACCGGCGCACGGGUGAGUAACGCGUAUCCAACCUUCCCGUUACUGCGGGAUAACCUGCCGAAAGGCAGACUAAUACCGCAUGUUCUUCGAUGACGGCAUCAGAUUCGAAGCAAAGAUCCGUCGGUAACGGAGGGGGAUGCGUCUGAUUAGCUGGUUGGCGGGGCGACGGCCCACCAAGGCGACGAUCAGUAGGGGUUCUGAGAGGAAGGUCCCCCACAUUGGAACUGAGACACGGUCCAAACUCCUACGGGAGGCAGCAGUGAGGAAUAUUGGUCAAUGGGCGAGAGCCUGAACCAGCCAAGUAGCGUGCAGGAUGACGGCCCUAUGGGUUGUAAACUGCUUUUAUGCGGGGAUAAAGUGAGGGACGUGUCCUUCAUUGCAGGUACCGCAUGAAUAAGGACCGGCUAAUUCCGUGCCAGCAGCCGCGGUAAUACGGAAGGUCCGGGCGUUAUCCGGAUUUAUUGGGUUUAAAGGGAGCGUAGGCCGUGGAUUAAGCGUGUUGUGAAAUGCAGGUGCUCAACGUCUGCACUGCAGCGCGAACUGGUUCACUUGAGUGUGCGCAACGCAGGCGGAAUUCGUCGUGUAGCGGUGAAAUGCUUAGAUAUGACGAAGAACUCCGAUUGCGAAGGCAGCUUGCGGGAGCACGACUGACGCUGAAGCUCGAAAGUGCGGGUAUCGAACAGG
rnacentral:rRNA from 1 species